UACAGAGGGCCCAAGCGUUGUUCGGAUUCAUUGGGCGUAAAGGGUGCGUAGGUGGCGCCGUAAGUCGGGUGUGAAAUUUCGGAGCUUAACUCCGAAACUGCAUUCGAUACUGCGGUGCUUGAGGACUGGAGAGGAGACUGGAAUUCAUGGUGUAGCAGUGAAAUGCGUAGAGAUCAUGAGGAAGACCAGUGGCGAAGGCGGGUCUCUGGGCCGUAACUGACGCUGAGGAGCGAAAGCGUGGGGAGCGAACAGG
rnacentral:rRNA from 1 species